rnacentral:rRNA from 1 species
AGUGAACGCUGGCGGUAUGCCUAACACAUGCAAGUCGAACGGCAGCACAGUAAGAGCUUGCUCUUACGGGUGGCGAGUGGCGGACGGGUGAGGAAUACAUCGGAAUCUACUUUUUCGUGGGGGAUAACGGAGGGAAACUUACGCUAAUACCGCAUACGACCUACGGGUGAAAGCAGGGGAUCUUCGGACCUUGCGCGAUUGAAUGAGCCGAUGUCGGAUUAGCUAGUUGGCGGGGUAAAGGCCCACCAAGGCGACGAUCCGUAGCUGGUAUGAGAGGAUGGUCAGCCACCCUGGAAGUGAGACACGGCCCAGAGUCCUAAGGGAGGCCGCAGUGGGGAAUAUUGGGCAAUGGGGGCAAGCCUGAUCCAGCAAUACCGCGUGGGUGAAGAAGGCCUUCGGGUUGUAAAGCCCUUUUGUUGGGAAAGAAAAGCAGCAGGUUAAUACCCCGCUGUUCUGACGGUACCCAAAGAAUAAGCACCGGCUAACUUCGUG